UACGUAGGGUGCGAGCGUUGUCCGGAAUUAUUGGGCGUAAAGAGCUCGUAGGCGGUGUGUCACGUCGGCCGUGAAAACCUGCAGCUUAACUGUGGGCGUGCGGUCGAUACGGGCAUCACUGGAGUUCGGCAGGGGAAACUGGAAUUCCUGGUGUAGCGGUGAAAUGCGCAGAUAUCAGGAGGAACACCGGUGGCGAAGGCGGGUCUCUGGGC
rnacentral:rRNA from 1 species